rnacentral:rRNA from 1 species
UACGUAGGGGGGCAAGCGUUGUCCGGAAUCAUUGGGCGUAAAAGAGCGUGUAGGCGGUCCGGUAAGUCGGCUGUGAAAGUCCAGGGCUCAACCCCUGGGAUGCCGGUCGAUACUGCCCGGACUAGAGUUCGGAAGAGGCGAGUGGAAUUCCCCGGUGUAGCGGGUGAAAAUGCGCAGAUAUCGGGGAGGAAACACCCUAUGGCGAAGGCAGCUCGCUGGGGACG